UGUUACUGCAAUGAUGAUAUAUGUGAAUCCCAGCUCAUUAUGAGACCCUUUGUGGUCCAGGAAUAGCCUUUAUCCACAGAUAUAUGAGCUUAAAU